rnacentral:rRNA from 2 species
UGGGGAAUAUUGGUCAAUGGGGGAAACCCUGAACCAGCAACGCCGCGUGAAGGAAGAAGGCUUUCGGGUUGUAAACUUCUUUUACCAGGGACGAAAGAAAUGACGGUACCUGGAGAAUAAGCUCCGGCUAACUACGUGCCAGCAGCCGCGGUAAUACGUAGGGAGCUAGCGUUAUCCGGAUUUACUGGGUGUAAAGGGCGCGUAGGCGGGAGAACAAGUCAGAUGUGAAAUACCGGGGCUCAACCCCGGGGCUGCAUUUGAAACUGUUUUUCUUGAGUGAUGGAGAGGCAAGUGGAAUUCCUAGUGUAGCGGUGAAAUGCGUAGAUAUUAGGAGGAACACCAGUGGCGAAGGCGACUUGCUGGACAUUAACUGACGCUGAGGCGCGAAAGCGUGGGGAGCAAACAGG